UCCCUGGUGGCUCAGACGGUAAAGUGUCUGCCUACAAUGCGGGAGACCCGGGUUCGAUCCCUGGGUUGGGAA
rnacentral:tRNA from 1 species